rnacentral:tRNA from 1 species
GUCAGGAUGAUUGAGUGGUCUAAGGCGCCAGACUCAAGUUCUGAUCUUUGUAAGAGGGCGUGGCGUGGGUUCAAAUCCCACUUCUGACA